rnacentral:rRNA from 1 species
UACGUAGGGGGCUAGCGUUGUCCGGAAUCAUUGGGCGUAAAGAGCGUGUAGGCGGCCCGGUAAGUCCGCUGUGAAAGUCGGGGGCUCAACCCUCGAAUGCCGGUGGAUACUGUCGGGCUGGAGUCCGGAAGAGGCGAGUGGAAUUCCUGGUGUAGCGGUGAAAUGCGCAGAUAUCAGGAGGAACACCAAUGGCGAAGGCAGCUCGCUGGGACGGUACUGACGCUGAGACGCGAAAGCGUGGGGAGCAAACAGG